rnacentral:rRNA from 1 species
GAUGAACGCUGGCGGCGUGCCUAAUACAUGCAAGUCGAGCGAACAGACGAGGAGCUUGCUCCUCUGACGUUAGCGGCGGACGGGUGAGUAACACGUGGAUAACCUACCUAUAAGACUGGGAUAACUUCGGGAAACCGGAGCUAAUACCGGAUAAUAUAUUGAACCGCAUUGUUCAAUAGUGAAAGACGGUUUUGCUGUCACUUCUAGAUGGAUCCGCGCCGCAUUAGCUAGUUGGUAAGGUAACGGCUUACCAAGGCGACGAUGCGUAGCCGACCUGAGAGGGUGAUCGGCCACACUGGAACUGAGACACGGUCCAGACUCCUACGGGAGGCAGCAGUAGGGAAUCUUCCGCAAUGGGCGAAAGCCUGACGGAGCAACGCCGCGUGAGUGAUGAAGGUCUUCGGAUCGUAAAACUCUGUUAUUAGGGAAGAACAAAUGUGUAAGUAACUAUGCACGUCUUGACGGUACCUAAUCAGAAAGCCACGGCUAACUACGUG